rnacentral:tRNA from 1 species
AUCUUUCUAGUACAAACUCAGUAUAAGUGACUUCCAAUCACCCGGUCUUGGCUGCACCCAAGGAAAGAUA